rnacentral:RNase_P_RNA from 2 species
UAAACAGGUCGUGCAGUUGCGUGAUGAUAUAGCAAAGCUGUAGAUCACGAGGAAAGUCCGGACUCUAUAGAGGUAUGGUGCCGGUUAACCUCCGGCAAAGUAUUAUUACUUUAGGGAAAGUACCACAGAAAAUAUACCGCUGAAUUGUACGUAAGUACUCGGUAAGGGUGAAAAGGUACGGUAAGAGCGUACCGGUAAGUUGGUAACAAAUUACGCAUGGUAAACCCCACCAAGAGCAAGAUCAAAUAGGCAUUACAGAACUUAUCAAGUUCCCGGAUUAUCUCUAGCCGGCUUGUAAUGCGGGUAGAUCGCUUGAGGUAAACGGUAACGUUUAUCCUAGAUAAAUAACUGCAAUGAAUUUAUAUUCAUACAGAAUCCGGCUUAUAGACCUUAUUGUCAU